rnacentral:rRNA from 1 species
ACGGGAGGCAGCAGUGGGGAAUAUUGCACAAUGGGGGAAACCCUGAUGCAGCGACGCCGCGUGAGUGAAGAAGUAUUUCGGUAUGUAAAGCUCUAUCAGCAGGGAAGAAAAUGACGGUACCUGACUAAGAAGCCCCGGCUAACUACGUGCCAGCAGCCGCGGUAAUACGUAGGGGGCAAGCGUUAUCCGGAUUUACUGGGUGUAAAGGGCGUGUAGGCGGAGAUGCAAGUCAGAAGUGAAAUCUAGGGGCUCAACCCCUAAACUGCUUUUGAAACUGUAUCCCUUGAGUAUCGGAGAGGCAGGCGGAAUUCCCAGUGUAGCGGUGAAAUGCGUAGAUAUUGGGAGGAACACCAGUGGCGAAGGCGGCCUGCUGGACGACAACUGACGCUGAGGCGCGAAAGCGUGGGGAGCAAACAGGAUUAGAUACCCUGGUA